GCCAGUACGGAGCAGUGGUAUGAAUAUUGGACUAUGAUACCAGAGGCCAAGGUUCAAAUCCUUGCUCAGCCA